CAGCAGCCGCGGGAAUACGUAGGGUGCGAGCGUUGUCCGGAAUUACUGGGCGUAAAGAGCUCGUAGGCGGUUUGUCGCGUCGUCUGUGAAAUUCUGCAGCUUAACUGUAGGCGUGCAGGCGAUACGGGCAGACUUGAGUACUACAGGGGAGACUGGAAUUCCUGGUGUAGCGGUGAAAUGCGCAGAUAUCAGGAGGAACACCGGUGGCGAAGGCGGGUCUCUGGGUAGUAACUGACGCUGAGGAGCGAAAGCGUGGGUAGCGAACAGGAUUAGAUACCCCCGUAGUCCCUGUCUCUUAUAC
rnacentral:rRNA from 1 species